rnacentral:pre_miRNA from 1 species
UUUCUACUCCCUCCGUCCGAAAAUACUUGUCAUCAAAAUGGAUAAAAAGAGAUGUAUCUAAAACUAAAAUACGUCUAGAUACAUCUCCUUUUAUCCAUUUUGAUGACUAGUAUUUCCGGACGGAGGGAGUAUUUG